GAUGAAGAACGUAGCGAAAUGCGAUAAGUAAUGCGAAUUGCAGAAUUCCAGUGAAUCAUCGAAUCUUUGAACGCACAUUGCGCCCCUUGGUAUUCCGAGGGGCAUGCCUGUUCGAGCGUCAUUACACCACUCAAGCUAUGCUUGGUAUUGGGCGUCGUCCUUAGUUGGGCGCGCCUUAAAGACCUCGGCGAGGCCACUCCGGCUUUAGGCGUAGUAGAAUUUAUUCGAACGUCUGUCAAAGGAGAGGAACUCUGCCGACUGAAACCUUUAUUUUUCUAGGUUGACCUCGGAUCAGGUAGGGAUACCCGCUGAACUUAAGCAUAUCAAUAAGCGGAGGA
rnacentral:misc_RNA from 1 species